AACGAACGCUGGCGGCAUGCCUAACACAUGCAAGUCGAACGAUUGCCUUCGGGUGAUAGUGGCGCACGGGUGCGUAACGCGUGGGAAUCUGCCCUUAGGUUCGGAAUAACAGCUGGAAACGGCUGCUAAUACCGGAUGAUAUCGCGAGAUCAAAGAUUUAUCGCCUGAGGAUGAGCCCGCGUUGGAUUAGGUAGUUGGUGGGGUAAAGGCCUACCAAGCCGACGAUCCAUAGCUGGUCUGAGAGGAUGAUCAGCCACACUGGGACUGAGACACGGCCCAGACUCUUACGGGAGGGAGCAGUGGGGAAUAUUGGAAAAUGGGGGCAAGCCUGAUCCAGCAAUGCCGGGUGAGUGAUGAAGGCCCGAGGGUUGUAAAGCUCUUUUACCCGGGAAGAUAAUGACUGUACCGGGAGAAUAAGCCCCGGCUAACUCCGUG
rnacentral:rRNA from 1 species